CUUUCUAGCAAGUCAACAAGAUUUUCUAUGCGCUUACCAUUCAGUCGAUUGCUCUUCUAGGCAUUUAUUUCUUCUUGUCUCAGAAGAUUUCUCUCUAGAGGACAGUCGUGAUGAUGGAAGAACCAAUCAUAGAGGCAAUUCUACUUUCGUUGCUGCCACACAAAGGAGAGGAUGGAUGGUGGUCGCCGGGGUUUGGUGGGCUCUGGUUGGUGUGGAUCUGCAGAAGGAGCUCGCCGAGUAGCAGGUUGGGCCGACCGCCGGGUUCAAGUACAAGAUCUCCGAUGACCUCCAAGGUCCAGCGAAUCCCAAGAUCUAUUCCAUUCUCACUUUUACUUCCUGUGGAUGGAUGAGGAUGGAUGAACUGGGAUUUCUCUUUGUUGUACAGCCUUCUAUUCUUGAUUUCGGAGAACAAAUUCCAGUUUCCUUUUCCUAGAUAUAUUCUUUGUGAUGCUCUCCCUUUUUCUGUUGUGUUGCUUCGUUGCUUCCGUUGCUUCUUAGAUUGUGUUUCCUUGUCUCACUUCUUGAUGGAAAACUGAAUCUCAGAUCGGCUGCAGCUUGGCCAGCUGAUUCUCCUGUUGCAUGCUUCUUCAGUUCUUCUCAUGGUGCUUCUUAUGCGCAUCCUGCUAGCCUUGAUGGGGUCAUCUCUCGACGGUUGGAGAUCCGUUUUGGUAAGAGGCCUGCUGCUUCUUCACCUGGUAUGUGUUGCUUCUUGUGUACUCUCUUCUUUUGGUUGCAUCCUAGGAGCUCCUUGGUGCACUUUCCUGCCAUGGCUUUACCAGUUGUUGUCUCAUCUACAUCUGAUGCGUCUUCAACGAUGUGCAGAUAGUGCACCAAUCAGGGUUUUUGUUGCUUUCUGUUGUUGUUCCCCUGCAGUCGUUGCGCCUUUUAAAUGAUGUGUCGUCGGACGUGGGCUCGCUGUUGCCUUCUCCUAUGGCAGUGUUUGUUGUGCAGCAGGAACCGUGUCACCAUAUAGAUUUUUCGUGGGAAGCGUCCAUAGGUGGAUACUGAAGGUGCUUUUCCGUGCUUUUAUUUGCCGCGCAUAAGUAUUUGUAUGCGUUUGCAUACUGCUUAUACUAGGCUCUUUGUUGUUGGGUCUUUCUUCCAUGCUUUCUGCUCUGCGGGUUGAGUUCCGUUCCAAUUAAGUCAGGCAGUUUCUUCUAUGUUCGAUUUCUUCUUCCUCUUUGGGUCCCUGCACCCGCUGCCUGCGGGUUAGCAAUUACUCUCUCCUUUGAGUGGCUUUUGUUCUUCCUUUCAAAUGCUUUACCACAAUUUACUGUGUUAGCUGCAUGGAAUAAAAAUAAAUUUGUAAAUAGUAAUUAAUGAACCUACCAGGCAGGUUUGACAAUGUUUACUCGUGAAAUUUUAGCGUUUCCUUGCUUCGCCUGCAGUAGGCUCUCUUCCUCGUGUGUUUCUUAUGCAGCUCCUUUAGGUUUGUUUCUAGCUUGUUUUAUAUAUCUGUUUUCAGGUGAUGUUUUGUAUUCCUGUUUGUUGCUGCUAUUCUUUUAUUGUCCUUGAAUAAUCUUUUCUUUUGUGUGGCAUGCUUAUACCAUUUUGUGCUUCGGCUGUUGUUCACCUUCCUACUAAGAAAGAACUUUUUUGGCCUACUUCAAAAUUUUAUGCUUUUGCUACGUGAUUUCCGAUUCAUUAACUUCCUUUCCAUAAGUGCAGAUUGUUAUAGGCGCAUGCAGUUUCCUAUAUCAACAGAGUUUAUUGACCUCCUUAAAGAUUUGUUCUUAUUCUAUUCAUCAUACAUAUGUUCUUUCCUUCUUGUUCAAUUGAUAGUGCAUGACGUUUGUUGUUCUUAAUUUUUCCAACAUAUAUGUUUGUUUUCUUUUUAUUUAGUUGAUGUUAGUUGAUGCUUCGUGCUGACUUGAAGUUUGCUGUGGCUUUUUUCAUGUUUGUUUUGCUCAUAAUUUGAGACUGGUUUUAAUCAGAUAGUUGUUUGCAUGUGAGGAAUGAUAGUAUACAUUUUGCGAACCAUAUGUCUCAAGAUUAGUUGUUCACAUACCCAACAGGAACAGAACAAUAUAUCAUGAAGACACCCACUUGCAGGAAUUGGUCGACAGUCCUUCAAGAUUUAAUACUAUGCAUACCAAUUGGUUUAGUGUGAAUCAGAUCCAUGCUGAUGCAUCAGCAUUUAAUAUAAGUUCAAUAGAGAGUGGCCGAUAUGUGGGCUAUCUGUUGCUAGUGGGCUGAAUAAUGCCAGAUCCUAAGAGAAAAAUGGAGAGAAGGAUGGCCACAACCCAGUACGGCCCACCUAACCCGCUGCUAGUGUUCAGGAGUAGCUUCAUUGUUGCCCCCAGAUUAUUUGCUCAUCAGAAGAUCCAGCUUAAGCUUGGUGUGCCUAUUAUGUUAUUGAGGACUAUUUAUCAGUCAAUGGGUCUAUGCAAUUGGACACAUUUGAUUGUAACACAACUAGGUGAUUGGGUUCCUGAGGCAGAGAUUCGUACUGGCAGUCACAUUCGUCAACAUACUUGCAUUCCAUAGAUUGUGCUAAAUAUAUGCUCUUGCUUCAAGGUAGACUUUUACUUCGCAAUGUUGGCAGUAUCAAAUACGUCUUAAAUUUUUAUGCAAUGACAAUCGAUAA